GAUGAACGCUGGCGGCGUGCCUAAUACAUGCAAGUCGAACGGUGAGGAGCAAUCCUCAUAGUGGCGAACGGGUGAGUAACGCGUUGGUGACCUGCCCCGAAGUGUGGGAUACCAGGCCGAAAGGCUUGCUAAUACCGCAUGUGCAACCGAGAAUUAGGAGAUUGGUUGUAAAGGGAUUUAUCCCGCUUUGGGAGGGGCCUGCGUCCCAUCAGCUAGUUGGUAAGGUAACGGCUUACCAAGGCGAUGACGGGUAGGGGACCUGAGAGGGUGACCCCCCACAAUGGAACUGAAACACGGUCCAUACACCUACGGGUGGCAGCAGUAGGGAAUAUUGGUAAUGGGGGAAACCCUGAUGCAGCGACGCCGCGUGGAGGGUGACGGCCUCGGGUUGUAAACUCCU
rnacentral:rRNA from 1 species